rnacentral:pre_miRNA from 1 species
AGUGGGAUAGCUGGGUCAAAUGGUGGUUCCAUUCAAGUUUUCUAAGGAAUCUCCAUACUGCUUUCCAGAUUGGUUGCACCAAUUUGCAGUCCCACCAGCAGU